rnacentral:rRNA from 1 species
UACGUAGGGGGCGAGCGUUGUCCGGAGUUACUGGGCGUAAAGCGCACGCAGGCGGUCUGCUAAGUUUGGAGUGACAGUUGGUGGCUUAACUGCCAAAGUGCUUUGAAAACUGACAGACUUGAGGGCUUCAGAGGGACACGGAAUUCCGGGUGGAGUGGUGAAAUGCGUAGAGAUCCGGAGGAACACCAAAGGCGAAGGCAGUGUCCUGGGGAGUACCUGACGCUCAGGUGCGAAAGCCAGGGGAGCGAACGGG